GACGAACGCUGGCGGCGUGCUUAACACAUGCAAGUCGAACGGAAAGGCCCUGCUUGCAGGGUACUCGAGUGGCGAACGGGUGAGUAACACGUGGGUGAUCUGCCCUGCACUUCGGGAUAAGCUUGGGAAACUGGGUCUAAUACCGGAUAGGAGCCAUCUUUAGUGUGGUGGUUGGAAAGUUUUUUCGGUGUAGGAUGAGCUCGCGGCCUAUCAGCUUGUUGGUGGGGUAAUGGCCUACCAAGGCGGCGACGGGUAGCCGGCCUGAGAGGGUGUACGGCCACAUUGGGACUUGGAUACGGCCCAGACGCCUACGGGAGGCAGCAGGGGGGAAUAUUGCACAAUGGGCGCAAGCCUGAUGCAGCGACGCCGCGUGGGGGAUGAAGGCCUUCGGGUUGGAAACUCCUUUCGCUAGGGACGAAGCUUUUUGUGACGGUACCUAGAUAAGAAGCACCGGCUAACUACGUG
rnacentral:rRNA from 1 species